GUGGAAUUAAUAUUAGGAUGUUAGGGUUUGUAAUCCAAGUGAGAAUAUAUACAUUUUAAGACCUAACCAGGAACGACUGCGAAAAAUGCAGCACAAGUUCCUCUGGUAGGAAUCGAACCUAUACGGCCCUGUGAUUCCGGAGCAGCGCUCUAACCAACUGAGCUACAGAGGCCAGCUGUUGAGCUGUAACUGUAAGUUCAUGUAUAUAUAGGUAAUCGGGUGUACGGGUUGUGAUAAGGUGGACUUGAAUAACUUAGUGCUGCACUUCACUUGGUGCAUGUAAUUAAUAUUAGGAUGUUAGGGUUUGUAAUCCAAGUGAGAAUAUAUACAUUUUAAGACCUAACUAGGAACGACUGCGAAAAAUGCAGCACAAGGUCCUCUGGUAGGAAUCGAUCCUACGGCCCUGCGAUUCCGGAGCAGCGCUCUAACCAACUGAGC
rnacentral:lncRNA from 1 species